ensembl:lncRNA AOX3P-AOX2P AOX3P-AOX2P readthrough, transcribed pseudogene
UUUUAUGCCAACUGCGAGGGAAUAAACAGUCUCAUCAGCCCAUCUGCAGCUGUGCCUUUGCCACCUUCUGCCCCCAAGGAGGCCUUUGUACAACUGUCACCCUCAGGAACCUAUGAAAAGCAUUUUUCAUCCCAGACUUGGCCCCAGGUGGACGCACCUUUUCCCUUAUAUUUCACCUCAUGGAACUCCUCUCCCUCUGGUCCAGGGCAGGACCUUCGCACAGUCCAUUCUGCCACACAAGCACCUUUAUGAAGCCAGAAGGAAAAGCCAGGAUGCGCGUGAUGAGUAGGUGAUUUGUGUGGGUCAGAUUUUCUGCACUGUGGCUGCUGACAAACAUGAUCAUGCCAAGCAGGCCACAAAAGUGGUGAAGAUUGUGUACCAAGACGUGGAGCCUAUAAUUGUGAACAUUCAGAUCUGGCUGCCCAAUCCAUUUUAUUCUAGAACAUGGGGACAACAUGUUGAUAACUGGAGGAUGGCACCCACUACCUGGGACAUAUAAGAAUACCUGCCGGACCCUCGUGGAAUGCCUUGAACCUAUUAUCAGAUGGAGUACUAGUGGCACCUGGGAGAAGUGGGCUAAUGAAGCUUUUGCUCAAAGCACUAGUUUGUCUGCCACUGGAUAUUUUAGGACUGACAAUAGGCGCUGGCUGCAGCCUGGCCCAGAUGCAGGACAUCUUGGCUGAGAGGGUAGCUGAGCUCCCAGAGGAGAAAACACAGACGUACUGAGCCCUCCUGAAGCACCUGAGGAGU